AGAGUUUGAUCCUGGCUCAGGAUGAACGCUAGCGGCAGGCUUAAUACAUGCAAGUCGAGGGGCAGCAGGGUGUAGCAAUACACUGCUGGCGACCGGCAAACGGGUGCGGAACACGUACGCAACCUUCCUUUAAGUGGGGGAUAGCCCAGGGAAACUUGGAUUAAUACCUCGUAAUAUUAUGAGAUGGCAUCAUUUUAUAAUUAUAGCUCCGGCGCUUAAAGAUGGGCGUGCGCCUGAUUAGGUAGUUGGCGGGGUAAUGGCCCACCAAGCCUUCGAUCAGUAACUGGUGCGAGAGCACGACCAGUCACACGGGCACUGAGACACGGGCCCGACUCCUACGGGAGGCAGCAGUAAGGAAUAUUGGUCAAUGGACGCAAGUCUGAACCAGCCAUGCCGCGUGGAGGAUGAAGGUCCUCUGGAUUGUAAACUUCUUUUAUCUGGGAAGAAAUCCACAUUUUCCAAUGUGGUUGACGGUACCAGGUGAAUAAGCACCGGCUAACUCCGUGCCAGCAGCCGCGGUAAUACGGAGGGUGCAAGCGUUAUCCGGAUUCACUGGGUUUAAAGGGUGCGUAGGCGGGUUGGUAAGUCCGUGGUGAAAUCCCCAAGCUUAACUUGGGAACUGCCGUGGAUACUAUCAAUCUUGAAUAUCGUGGAGGUAAGCGGAAUAUGUCAUGUAGCGGUGAAAUGCUUAGAUACGACAUAGAACACCAAUUGCGAAGGCAGCUCACUACACGAAUAUUGACACUGAGGCACGAAAGCGUGGGGAUCAAACAGGAUUAGAUACCCUGGUAGACACGCCCUAAACGAUGGAUACUCGACAUACGCGAUACACUGUGUGUGUCUGAGCGAAAGCAUUAAGUAUCCCACCUGGGAAGUACGACCGCAAGGUUGAAACUCAAGGAAUUGACGGGGUUCCGCACAAGCGGUGGGAGCAUGUGGUCAUUCGAUUGGAUCCGCGAGGUCUUAACUGGCUAGGAUGCUGGGAGAACCGUGGAUGAAAGCCUCACUUUGUAGCAAUACACUUGCCAGUAGUGCUGCAUGCCUGCCUCAGCUCGGCCCUUGAAGU
rnacentral:rRNA from 1 species